rnacentral:lncRNA from 1 species
AAAAUAAAAUAAAAAAUAAAACAAUAAAAAAAAGUAAAAGAAAUAAUAAAAAUGAGGGGACAUACUAUCAACACAAGGGGUAAAAGAAUUAAAAAAAUUUAAAGGAAAUAAAAUAAAGAACAAAAAUAAAUAGAUAAAGCAAUGAUAAUAAAGUAAUAAUAAAAAAAAUACAAAAGACAAAAAUCAGACUGAAAAUUAAGGAUGUAGAUAGAAAAAUGCUCUAAGCGCAAAGGAGAAGGGCCCAUAGAAGUGUGUUAAGCAAUCAAGGGUGUGAGGAGACUUCUUC